AUUGAACGCUGGCGGCACGCCUAACACAUGCAAGUCGAGCGAGCGGCGGACGGCGGAGUAAUGUCUGGGAAACUGCCUGAUGGAGGGGGAUAACUACUGGAAACGGUAGCUAAUACCGCAUACCAUCAGAUGUGCCCAGAUGGGAUUAGCUAGUAGGUGGGGUAACGGCUAACCUAGGCGACGAUCCCUAGCUGGUCUGAGAGGAUGACCAGCCACACAGGCACUGCGAAGAGGUCCAGACGCCUACGGAAGGCAGCAGUGGUGAAUAGUGAACAAGGGGCGCAAGCCGGAGGCAGCCAUGCCGCUGGUGUGAAGAAGGCCUUCGGGUUGUAAAGCACUAUCAGCGGGGAGGCGUAACCCGGAGAAGAAGCACGGGCUAAGUCCGUGUCAGCAGCCGCGGUAAUUC
rnacentral:rRNA from 1 species